GUGGGGAAUUUUGGACAAUGGGCGCAAGCCUGAUCCAGCCAUUCCGCGUGCAGGAUGAAGGCCUUCGGGUUGUAAACUGCUUUUGUACGGAACGAAAAGGUUCUCUCUAAUACAGGGGGCUGAUGACGGUACCGUAAGAAUAAGCACCGGCUAACUACGUGCCAGCAGCCGCGGUAAUACGUAGGGUGCAAGCGUUAAUCGGAAUUACUGGGCGUAAAGCGUGCGCAGGCGGUGAUGUAAGACAGAUGUGAAAUCCCCGGGCUCAACCUGGGAACUGCAUUGGUGACUGCAUUGCUGGAGUGCGGCAGAGGGGGAUGGAAUUCCGCGUGUAGCAGUGAAAUGCGUAGAUAUGCGGAGGAACACCGAUGGCGAAGGCAAUCCCCUGGGCCUGCACUGACGCUCAUGCACGAAAGCGUGGGGAGCAAAAGGGAUUAGAAACCCUAGUAGUCC
rnacentral:rRNA from 1 species